UAAUGAAUUUUAGGACGUUCUUUUUAGAAGUCCGACCCUUUCAUUUUCUUACACUGUGCACACACUUCUUUUUUACACACACUUUUAACACCUUAGUAUAAGAAUGUAAUAGUCUCUUUAUUGAGCAUAAAAAAAAAUAAAACUUUCAGCAACGGAUCUCUUGGCUCUCGCAUCGAUGAAGAACGCAGCGAAUUGCGAUAAGUAAUGUGAAUUGCAGAAUUCAGUGAAUCAUCGAAUCUUUGAACGCACCUUGCACUCUUUGGUAUUCCGAAGAGUAUGUCUGUUUGAGUGUCAUGAAACUCUCAACCCCCCUAUUUUGUAAUGAAAUGGGCGUGGGCUUGGAUUAUGGUUGUCUGUCGGCGUAAUUGCCGGCUCAACUGAAAUACACGAGCAACCCUAUUUAAAUAAACGGUUUGACUUGGCGUAAUAAUUAUUUCGCUAAGGACGUUUUCUUAAAAUAUAAGAGGUGCUACUAAUUCGCUAUUAUAGCAUUUAAGCUUUAGACCUCAAAUCAGUCAGGACUACCCGCUGAACUUAAGCAUAUCAAUAAGCGGAGGA
rnacentral:rRNA from 1 species